UGGGGGAUAUUGCACAAUGGGCGAAAGCCUGAUGCAGCGACGCCGCGUGGGGGAUGAAGGCUUUCGGGUUGUAAACCUCUUUCGCUAUCGAACAAGGCCCGCUUAGGGUGGGUUGAGGGUAGGUGGAGAAGAAGCGCCGGCUAACUACGUGCCAGCAGCCGCGGUAAUACGUAGGGCGCGAGCGUUGUCCGGAAUUAUUGGGCGUAAAGGGCUUGUAGGCGGCUUGUUGCGCCUGCUGUGAAAACGCGGGGCUUAACUUCGCGCGUGCAGUGGGUACGGGCAGGCUGGAGUGUGGUAGGGGUGACUGGAAUUCCAGGUGUAGCGGUGGAAUGCGAAGAUAUCUGGAGGAACACCGAUGGCGAAGGAAGGUCACUGGGCCAUUACUGACGCUGAGGAGCGAAAGCAUGGGUAGCGAACAGG
rnacentral:rRNA from 1 species